GGACCCGCACAAGCAGCGGAGCAUGUGGUUUAAUUCGAAGCAACGCGAAGAACCUUACCAGGGCUUGACAUCCUUCCGACAGGCGUGUAACGGCGCCCUCCUUCGGGCGGAAGAGACAGGUGGUGCAUGGUUGUCGUCAGCUCGUGUCGUGAGAUGUUGGGUUAAGUCCCGCAACGAGCGCAACCCUUGUCAUUAGUUGCCAUCGAUUCGGUCGGGCACUCUAAUGAGACUGCCGGGGACAACUCGGAGGAAGGUGGGGAUGACGUCAAAUCAUCAUGCCCCUUAUGUUCUGGGCUACACACGUGCUACAAUGGCCGGUACAAUGGGAAGCAAUACGGCGACGUGGAGCAAAUCACCAAAACCGGUCCCAGUUCGGAUUGCAGGCUGAAACCCGCCUGCAUGAAGUCGGAGUUGCUAGUAAUCGCGGAUCAGCAUGCCG
rnacentral:rRNA from 1 species